AGUUUCUACCUUGUGUAAUUCCAAAUUGCUCUCUUGACUAUUCUUGCAUGCUAGCUCCUGCUCCUCUUCCAUCAAUUCCAUACAAUAAAUCUUUCUUCGACCCCUGCUACUGGAUUUACUGCUGAG